UAACUUAAGCUUUUUUCUUACUUUAUACCAAGAUGCUGUCUGGUAGGAGAUUGAGGAGUCCUGAAGAACCUUACAGGGCAGCACCGCUUCUUCAGCACACCUCACAGCAAUGCCUGGGAUCAUCACAGAAGUCCCACGGAUCAAGCACCAAACUGCAAAGCACAGAUCAAAUCUAUUGUCUCCAGAGUCCUGGAACCUGCUUUGAGUUUCACUGAGCAGUGGAAGCAAUGGGAGCUCUGCGGCACAGGUCCAAGUGUGGGAGUGAAGAGGUAGUGAUUGCCUGUCAGCCUUCUCCAUGAGAAACAGAUCCACACCUUUGAGGGUCUUAAGGAAAUGCAGGAGCUCCACAGUUAUUUCAGCUCUGCUCAUGGUAUUGGAGGCAUUUCAGAUGAAGCUACUGUGGAACUCCUGACCUCCAACUAACCAUCUGACUGCAUCCAUUUUGUCCCCUGAAACUGUCUUCUCCCUUCCCGAGGUCUUUGCUCCAUACACUGUGUCCAGAGACUCUCUCAAGCCUUCUUCAAGAGCCUGUCCAGAUUUUCCACAUCAACCAGCAUGCAGCUUUCAAAGAAAAAAUCUACUGCCUGAGAGCUCCACACUUGUGGAAGAAAACAAGACCCAGCAAAAUGGAGAGCAGCAACACCCAACAAAGACUGUGAAGCACCAUGUGUGUAGUUGCCACUGGAACAGCAGCUUCGUGGGAGGUAGCCUAGAAUGGAGCCUAGCUUGCCUGGAGGUGAGGGAUGAGGACAUCUAGGCAAGCGAGCACACUCAUGUGAGUUCCCAUAAAGUCUCUGGGAACCACUUUCUUCAAAAUAGUAGGACACCACUCUCUCCCAGACCUCAGCUCCUACAGACACCCUCAUUCCUUCAGCCUAGGGCUCUGCUCACAAGCUGUCAUCAGCAAAAAUAUUUCAACCCUGCUGAUGCACAUAAGGGAUGGAAAGGGGAACCACUGUUUCUUGAGGGGGAGGCUGAGGAAAUAGGUGACGCAUGGUGGGAGGAUGAGCAGUGAGAAAUGGAGAAAUGAAAAAUGGAAAGUUUUCACUAGAGUUGUGACAAAUACAACUCCUCUAAUAGAACUAGACAGCAGAGUGGGCAGAGACAACUUGACAGCCUUUUAGAAGAGGAAGGAGUGACAAACACGUGAAAAUACCAAAGUGGCCUAUGUCCUGAGGGCCCUGACUCUCAGGCUCUGGGGGUUCAUGCUGAGGUGAUUUUAAGAAGCUCCUAGUCCAAGCUGCUCACCCAUUACUACAGGUUAUUGCCCUGUCACUGACUUGUCAGAAGUAGUGGUGUGCUCACACCAUAGGCACCAGACUAAUAUAUUGACAUAACUGAGGUGGCUAAUUCAGUUUACAAGGAAGUGGACUGUGGUGGCCAAGGCAUCUUCUUCUUGAUCCCUAUCAGGUUUAGUUGAAUAGAUCAGCUGAGGUCAGAAACCUCCUGAGACACCACAGCCUAACCAGACAAGCACCAAAAGUGGCCAAGAGAUCACCAGGAGAGCCUUGAUACCAAUUUAGCCAUUUUUCUUGUCUUUAGACCUCCUUUUCUCUGCUUUUCACUAACUCCUUUGUUGCCCCCUAGCUUGCAGAAGGCAUUAGGUAAGGUUUUCUUGUGGUGUCUCCUUUCCUCUAGGGAGCUGAAUGCCAGACUGAGUAGUGCAGGUGGGAAGUGAUCCCAUUACAUGGUUCAGAGAAGAGCACUGGUACUUUUAUAGAGUGGCUGCCAGGGUGCAACAAGGGGUGGGGACAAAUCCCAGGGUGGCAGCAGCAGGGUAGCCUGGGGAGAGGCAGCCCAGCCCCAGGCAGCCCCAGCCCUGGCCCUGGGCAUGCAGCACCUCCAUGGGGAUGAAAAUGGGCCUGUGGCCAGGCAGGGCAGAGCUCUGGGGAGCUGGAGACUGGUCCUGUUGUGGCAUUUCUGGGGCAGAGAUUCACAGUUCAGGGUCGUGGACCCUGGUCCAGCUUGGGGGAGCCCCAGGAUAUCUGGAGCAGGGACAAACAGGACUGGUGGUGCCCUUGGGAUCCUGACAAUGUCAUUGGCCAAGUCCAACACUUUUGAUCAUCUCUGCUCAUAUUAAGGAACUGGAGAAAAACCUACUCCAGCAAAUGAAUUGCAAAACUAAGCUUAAUUCCCUGUGAUCAAAUUCCUCAUUGUUACCUUGCUCAUGUGCUCAGAAUAUUCACAGAGCAAAUGACCACUUCAGAGCAUAAAAAGAUGCCAGCCUUAUACCUGGUGCCAGCUUUGGGCUGCUUCUGGAAAUUUGAUUUAGCUCUGACUACAGCAAUCCCUGCAUGUGCUAGGAGGAGCAGCUAAUAAAUGGCAAAUAGUCCCGUGAGAAUCACCACUAAUGGCUGCUGCUCAGUGAGAUAAUCACCCAUUUAAUAAAGGGUGAGCUUCUACCUCUGCACUUCCAUGGGGACCAUUAAUGCAUUUUUUUCCCCCUCCUUAGCCACUUAUUUCCUCAAAACUGGUAAGAACUCAAUGUUUUUGCAACUACUCUUCCUCUGUUAAUCUUAGCUGGAAUUGCCCAGUGGAUUCAGAAGUUAUUAGGAACAGCUAGAUGGUUGUACAAAUGUUGACAGAGACAGACACAAAGCAUUAUCAUAUUAAGAAAGCAUUCAAGUUUAUAACAACACAGAUUUUUAAAUCACGUUAAAAUCCAGCAAAUAGGUACUAUUAUGAGGACCAUUUCUGCACAAGUCUGCUUCACUAACAGCCUGAGAAGGUAAAGGAGCUCAGAAAGAAGUGGCCAUUGCUUAGACUUCAUGCCUUGAUGCUCUUCUCUGGGAAGGAGUGAUGGAAGGGUCAGAACUUGGCAAGAGGGCUUACAUAAAUAUUCUUUAGAGUAAGGCUUUUGGUUUGCACAUCCAAUUCUAGAUCUUUCAAAGCCGCAGUUAUCAUCUUUCUCUUCUCCAACAUUUUAUAAAUUGAAUCCCCUCUCCCUCUGUCCACUUCCCACGUUAGUCUGUCCCUUCUUUUACUUUGAGACUUGAACAUGCAGAGGUUGCUACUUUUAUUCAUGUUGAGCUUCUCAAUAGCAAAAAAGCCUUAUUGUUUGGUGAAACUAUUUGUUUCUUAGGGAAAUUCAAGGCUUAGGUAUAAACAUAUGUGAGUAAUUUCUCCUUAGGACUAUUUAAAAUGUAAUGAGAUCUACGUUGUAUAUUGAGUUUUGGUUUACUUCUUCAUGCAUUUUUGAGAAAGAACAGAUGCUGCUUGAAUGUUUCCUAUGAGGCAGAUUAAGCACACUCUAGAGAGCACACCUGAGCCAAAGGUCAAUCUUCCUCAUCAAACCAGCCAGCAACAAACUGCUCCAUGAGUUCUCAAUUUUGGUAAUGAAGGCUUAUAAAAUGAACUGUAAAGUAAUUAUAUUUAUUUUUAUUUUAAUUUUACAAACUACUGAAAUCAAGUUUUGAAAAAUUGUGCUUUGGUGGCCUCUGGAGGAUUGCAGCUGGUUUUCUACAUACAGUACUGUAUAAUUUCAAAAAUUCCAAGUCUUCCAAUAAAUUGGUCUGGCAGCUUUCACUGCAGAACUACAAGUUGAGUGGUUUUCACUACCAGCCAUGCCUACAGUUCUGUCCUUCUAAGAAAUACAUUUCUUGCAAGACUUAAGAUUCUUUCCAAUUAAAGUCUGAAAUGGCUUUGUCAUAUCUGUGGGUCACUGUACUUUUAUUGUAAAACACCUCAUUUAAUUAAUCUCAUUGCCAUUGGCUUUAAAAUUAUGGUGUUCAUGCCCAGGACAAGAGCUCUCUUUCUUCCUUGGAGGCUUGGUUACCUCAGGAAGUUGUGCCAAUUAUGUCAGUAAAAAAUCCUCCCUUCAUAAUGCUCCAUGCUUGGCCCUAAGCACAGUAGUAAAAACAGAUUGGUGAAAUAAAAGCUGUGAUUUGUCACUGUGUGUGGCUAGGAGGAAUUACUGAAAAGCUCCUUGUGUUCCCUCCUCACCCUCUGAAUUGGUCUGGGUGUUACAAUUCACUCUGUGUAUUUCAAAAGCAGAAGAGAAAUCAAUGUCUCACGAGUGUUCAAAAUGACAAAGCCACCCUAACAAGCAGUGGAUGUGUUACUUGUUUGUGAUGAUCACUCCUUACAGAUUAUUCUGUAAACUGUAUCUUAAACUAAAAAUUCUGGUUUGUUUUUUUUCAGAAAGUGAAUGGGAAGUUUGAGGGAGGAUGAAGGGAGAAAGAAAUACUUUUUUUUUUUUCCAGGAAGAGCUUUUAUUGCUAUUCAUCCAAAGAUUGAGCAACAGUUAACUAGUCAGUGUGAGUGGUUUUGUUAAAUGAACGUGGGUGAUAUCAAGUUAUAGAAAGCCUGGCCAUAUUUCCAGGAGAGAACAGAGUGUUUGUCUACAGUGGUCAGUGAAAAUGUCAACUUCCCUCAGCAAAAAAAGCAGAAUUACACGAAUUUUAAAAUAUCACAGAUAUUUUAGUACAUAGCUACAUAUGCCAUGACUGAGACAUUUCUUACUGAUGGUGGAAGCAGAAUAUUUAUAUUAUAAAUUAUUCUUGAUGGUUCUGAGUGAUAAAUGUCAAUAACAAGUGAUCCCAGCUGGCAGAAUUCUAAAUCUGUUCUGAAAAGCAUAUUCAGCCUAAAGGAAUUGAUGGAACUAAUAUUUUUCAUAAGUCCUUGGUUUUCUCCUUUUAUAUACAGUUUCUCAAUUCAGAUCUGUAAUAUUGUUUCAACGCAUUUGGAAAAUGUGAAUUUCUCCUGAGAUAACUUCCUAACUUCUUCUACCACCACUUCACCCUCAUUAUUUAUCUGUCCUGAUAUUUUACCUUUCUAAACUUUUGAGUCAAGGAGUUAUCUUUGUGAAAUCAAGCAUUUAUGGAUUACAAAACUCAUGUUUGGAACUCUUUUUCUAGUAAAGAUUAUUAAAAAUGAAUGCAAGAGAGAGCAGUGAGAAUAAUACGGGGAUCUUAGUCAAAAUUCUGUUCAGUUUCUGUUUUCCAAUUAGUCUGCGAAUAAAAUGGAAUAAAAUAUAGAAGUGAAUAAACUGAUUUUGUUUCAGAAGCAAGAGUUUUAUUGUCCACUGUAGAAGUGGGUACUCUACCUACAUAAAGGAAAAGUUGUGAAUGUGCACCUGUUGUUGAACCUUCACUGGGACUUUAUUUUUCACCAGUUUUCAUCUCCACAUUUCAUUUCCUUCCUGGCCCUAUGUAUCUCUGUGUGACCAAAAGCAAUGAUAUGUGAGCUGUUUGGUUUGAAGAAAAAGAAAGGGGAGAUGGAUGGGAUGAGGCUCCUAGAUCCAGAUUAUCCACCAGCAAAGCAGCCCAGCAGCCCCACAUUUAGCCUUGGCACAGCAUCCAGUGCACUUGUCACUCCUGAGUUAGUUGGUUCCAUUGUAGAGGCCAGAGCUACACUUCCAUCUUCAAAGGUCAAGAUCAGCGAUGGGUGCAAGUGGUCUCUGCAGACCCCGAUGG